rnacentral:rRNA from 1 species
AUUGAACUGAAGAGUUUGAUCCUGGCUCAGAUUGAACGCUGGCGGCAUGCCUUACACAUGCAAGUCGAACGGCAGCACGGGUGCUUGCACCUGGUGGCGAGUGGCGAACGGGUGAGUAAUACAUCGGAACAUGUCCUGUAGUGGGGGAUAGCCCGGCGAA